rnacentral:tRNA from 1 species
CAUCAAGUAGUUUAUAAAAAUAUAAGUUUUGGAGAUUUAAGAUAUCAUAUUAUGGUCUUGAUGA